rnacentral:rRNA from 2 species
GUUGACCUCGGAUCAGGUAGGAAUACCCGCUGAACUUAAGCAUAUCAAUAAGCGGAGGAAAAGAAACCAACAGGGAUUCCCCUAGUAACGGCGAGUGAAGCGGGAACAGCUCAAAUUUGAAAUCUGGCCCUUGGGUCCGAGUUGUAAUUUGCAGAGGAUGCUUUUGGUGCGGUGCCUUCCGAGUUCCCUGGAACGGGACGCCUUAGAGGGUGAGAGCCCCGUACGGUUGGCCACCAAGCCUGUGUAAAGCUCCUUCGACGAGUCGAGUAGUUUGGGAAUGCUGCUCAAAAUGGGAGGUAUAUUUCUUCUAAAGCUAAAUACUGGCCAGAGACCGAUAGCGCACAAGUAGAGUGAUCGAAAGAUGAAAAGCACUUUGAAAAGAGGGUUAAAUAGCACGUGAAAUUGUUGAAAGGGAAGGAUUUAUGACCAGACUUUUUCUAGGGGGAUCAUCCGGUGUUCUCACCGGUGCACUUCCCCUAGUUGAGGCCAGCAUCGGUUUCUGUCGGGGGAUAAAAGCUUCAGGAAUGUGGCUCCUUCGGGAGUGUUAUAGCCUGUUGCAUAAUACCCUGACGGGGACCGAGGUUCGCGCAUUGCAAGGAUGCUGGCGUAAUGGUUAUUAAUCACCCGUCUUGAAACACGGACCAAGGAGUCGAACAUUUGUGCGAGUGUUUGGGUGUUAAACCCUCACGCGUAAUGAAAGUGAACGGAGGUGAGAGCCCUUCGGGGUGCAUCAUCGACCGAUCCUGAUGUCUUCGGAUGGAUUUGAGUAAGAGCAUAACUGUUCGGACCCGAAAGAUGGUGAACUAUGCGUGGAUAGGGUGAAGCCAGAGGAAACUCUGGUGGAGGCUCGCAGCGGUUCUGACGUGCAAAUCGAUCGUCAAAUCUGCGCAUGGGGGCGAAAGACUAAUCGAACCAUCUAGUAGCUGGUUACCGCCGA